UGCCUCGUUUAAAAAAUUAAAACAGGCACAACUUCUUAGGUGUCUGAAUUAAGCAACGUGGCUAAAGAAAUAACAGGUUAUGCUUCCAUCAUUGUAAAAUUAAUUACAGUGGUGACAAUGAGACCUGUGACAAGC
rnacentral:snoRNA from 1 species